GACGAACGCUGGCGGCGUGCUUAACACAUGCAAGUCGAACGGUAAGGCCCUUCGGGUACGACGAGUGGCGAACGGGUGAGUAACACGUGGUGAUCUGCCCUGCACUUCGGGAUAAGCCUGGGAAACUGGGUCUAAUACCGGAUAGGACCAUGGACUUCACGGUUUGUGGUGGAAAGCUUUUGCGGUGUGGGAUGGGCCCGCGGCCUAUCAGCUUGUUGGUGGGGUAAUGGCCUACCAAGGCGACGACGGGUAGCCGGCCUGAGAGGGUGUCCGGCCACACUGGGACUGAGAUACGGCCCAGACUCCUACGGGAGGCAGCAGUGGGGAAUAUUGCACAAUGGGCGCAAGCCUGAUGCAGCGACGCCGCGUGAGGGAUGACGGGCCUUCGGG
rnacentral:rRNA from 1 species